AUUAUACUCCAUAAAGUCAAAUUAAGGCAUCUUUUAUUGAUUAAAGCUCCGGCGGUUAGAGAUGGGCAUGCGUGUCAUUAGCUAGUUGGUGAGGUAACGGCUCACCAAUGCCACGAUGACUAGGGGGUCUGAGAGGAUGAUCCCCCACACUGGUACUGAGACACGGACCAGACUCCUACGGGAGGCAGCAGUGAGGAAUAUUGGGCAAUGGACGCAAGUCUGACCCAGCCAUGCCGCGUGCAGGAUGACUGCCCUAUGGGUUGUAAACUGCUUUUGUUUGGGAAGAAACCCCCGAUCGUGAUCGGGGCUGACGGUACCAUACGAAUAAGCAUCGGCUAACUCCGUGCCAGCAGCCGCGGUAAUACGGAGGAUGCAAGCGUUAUCCGGAUUCAUUGGGUUUAAAGGGUGCGCAGGCGGAAUAUUAAGUCAGUGGUGAAAUCCUGCAGCUUAACUGUAGAACUGCCAUUGAUACUGAUAUUCUUGAAUAUAGUUGAGGUGGGCGGAAUGUGUAAUGUAGCGGUGAAAUGCUUAGAUAUUACACAGAACACCAAUUGCGAAGGCAGCUCACUAAACUAAUAUUGACGCUGAGGCACGAAAGCGUGGGUAGCAAACAGGAUUAGAUACCCUGGUAGUCCACGCUGUAAACUAUGAUCACUCGCUGUUGGCAAUACAUCGUCAGCGGCUGAGCGAAAGCAUUAAGUGAUCCACCUGGGGGGUACGGUCGCAAGAUUGAAACUCAAAGGAAUUGACGGGGGCCCGCACAAGCGGAGGAACAUGUGGUUUAAUUCGAUGAUACGCGAGGAACCUUACCUGGGCUUAAAUGCAGAGCGACGUCCGCCGAAAGGUGGAUUCCUUCGGGCGAUCUGCAAGGUGCUGCAUGGUUGUCGUCAGCUCGUGCCGUGAGGUGUCGGGUUAAGUCCCAUAACGAGCGCAACCCUUAUCGUUAGUUGCCAGCGGGUAAUGCCGGGCACUCUAACGAAACUGCCGGUGUAAACCGUGAGGAAGGUGGGGAUGACGUCAAAUCAGCACGGCCCUUAUGUCCAGGGCUACACACGUGUUACAAUGGUCGGUACAGAGGGCAGCUAC
rnacentral:rRNA from 1 species